AACGAACGUUGGCGGCGUGGAUUAGGCAUGCAAGUCGAACGAAGACAGCUUUGUAGCAAUACCGAGCUGGACUGAGUGGCGAAAGGGGCAGUAAGGCAUGGGUAACCUACCCGGGGAUGGGCAUAGCCGUUCUAACGGACGGGUAAUUCCCAGCGAUUUGGCGAGGCGGCAUCACCUUGCCAGGAAAUGAGUUUCGCCUCGGGAGGGGCUCAUGUGAUAUUAGCUUGUUGGCGGGGUAACGGCCCACCAAGGCUAAGAUGUCUAGCGGGUGUGAGAGCACGACCCGCGCCACUGGCACUGAGACACUGGCCAGACACCUACGGGUGGCAG
rnacentral:rRNA from 1 species